rnacentral:rRNA from 1 species
AACGAACGCUGGCGGCGUGCUUAACGCAUGCAAGUCGAACGCGAAAGGGACUUCGGUCCUGAGUAAAGUGGCGCACGGGUGAGUAACGCGUAGAUAACCUGUCUUCAUGUCUGGAAUAAUACGCCGAAAGGGGUACUAAUACCGGAUAUUCUUGCUUUUCAUAAGUUAUGCAAGCAAAGGUGGCCUCUGCAUAUGCUACUGCAUGAAGAGGGGUCUGCGUACCAUUAGCUAGUAGGUGGGGUAAUGGCCUACCUAGGCGACGAUGGUUAGCGGGUCUGAGAGGAUGAUCCGCCACACUGGCACUGGAACACGGGCCAGACUCCUACGGGAGGCAGCAGUGAGGAAUAUUGCGCAAUGGGGGAAACCCUGACGCAGCGACGCCGCGUGAGUGAGGAAAGGCCUUCGGGUCGUAAAGCUCUGUCAAGAGGAAAGAAGUGUACAAUGGCUAAUACCUGUUGUAUUUGACGGUACCUCUAAAGGAAGCACCGGCUAACUCCGUGCCAGCAGCUGC